rnacentral:sRNA from 1 species
CUGAAAUGUGAAGGGAGGGUGAGAUCCCUCGUGGGUUCGAGCCGAGCGAAGCGAGACAGUGUCGGAGCUUGCCACGACAACCCGUAGGGCAAGGAUUGAAACGACGUGUCAUCCCCUAACCGUCA